GACGGAGGGGGCCAGCGUUGUUCGGAAUUACUGGGUGUAAAGGGUGCGCAGGCGGUUUUGUAAGCCAGAUGUGAAAUCCCCGGGCUUAACCUGGGAAUGGCAUUUGGGACUGCAAGGCUCGAGUGCGGCAGAGGAGACUGGAAUUCCUGGUGUAGCAGUGAAAUGCGUAGAUAUCAGGAGGAACACCGAUGGCGAAGGCAGGUCUCUGGGCUGACACUGACGCUCAUGCACGAAAGCGUGGGGAGCAAACAGG
rnacentral:rRNA from 1 species